rnacentral:rRNA from 1 species
AUAGCGUAUAUUAAAGUUGUUGCAGUUAAAAAGCUCGUAGUUGAACUUCAGACCUGGCUGGGCGGUCAGCUUAUCGGCUAGUACUGUCCGGCUGGGCCUUACUUCUUGGUGAGCCGGUGUGCCCUUUAUUGGGUGCGUCGGUGAACCAGGACCUUUACCUUGAGAAAAUUAGAGUGUUCAAAGCAGGCCUAUGCCCGAAUACAUUAGCAUGGAAUAAUGAAAUAGGACGUUUGAUUCUAUUUUGUUGGUUUCUAGGAUCGACGUAAUGAUUAAUAGGGAUAGUUGGGGGCAUUAGUAUUCAAUUGUCAGAGGUGAAAUUCUUGGAUUUAUUGAAGACUAACUACUG